rnacentral:rRNA from 1 species
GAUGAACGCUGGCGGCGUGCCUAAUACAUGCAAGUCGAACGGACAGACGCUGAGCUUGUUCCUUUGACGUUAGCGGAAGGCGUGUGAGUAACGCGUGUAUAACCUACUUGUCUUUCGGGUAUAAUUACGGAAAACCGGAUAUAAUACCAGAGAAUAUAUUGAACCGCGUUGUGCAAUGGAAAGAGACGGCUGUGCGGUCUCGAAUAGCUGCUUACGGGCCGUAUGAGCUGGUUGUUAAGGUAACGGCUUACCAAGGCUACGAGGCGUAGCCGAGGUGAGAGGGGGAUCGGCCACACGGGAAGUGAGACACGGUCCAGACGACUACGGGAGGCAGCAGUAGGGAAUGGGCGGCAAUGGGCGGAAGCCUGACGGAGCAAGGCCGCGUGGGUGAUGAAGGCCCUCGGAUCGUAAAGACGUGUUAUUGGGGAAGAACAAAUGUGGAAGUAAACAUGGACGUCUUGACGGUAACUAAUCAGAAAGCACCGGCUAACUACGUG